rnacentral:rRNA from 1 species
UACGUAGGUGGCAAGCGUUGUCCGGAAUUAUUGGGCGUAAAGCGCGCGCAGGCGGUCCUUUAAGUCUGAUGUGAAAGCCCACGGCUCAACCGUGGAGGGUCAUUGGAAACUGGGGGACUUGAGUACAGAAGAGAAGAGUGGAAUUCCUGGUGUAGCGGUGAAAUGCGCAGAUAUCAGGAGGAACACCCGUGGCGAAAGCGGCUCUCUGGGACGGUACUGACGCUGAGACGCGAAAGCGUGGGGAGCGAACAGG